rnacentral:rRNA from 1 species
GACGAACGCUGGCGGCGUGCUUAACACAUGCAAGUCGAACGGAAAGGCCCUGCUUUUGUGGGGUGCUCGAGUGGCGAACGGGUGAGUAACACGUGAGUAACCUGCUCUUGACUUUGGGAUAACUUCAGGAAACUGGGGCUAAUACCGGAUAGGAGCUCCUGUUGCAUGGUGGGGGUUGGAAAGUUUCGGCGGUUGGGGAUGGACUCGCGGCUUAUCAGCUUGUUGGUGGGGUAGUGGCUUACCAAGGCUUUGACGGGUAGCCGGCCUGAGAGGGGGACCGGCCACAAUGGGACUGAGAUACGGCCCAGACUCCUACGGGAGGCAGCAGUGGGGAAUAUUGCACAAUGGGCGGAAGCCUGAUGCAGCAACGCCGCGUUCGGGAUGACGGCCUUCGGGUUGUAAACCGCAUUCGCCUGUGACGAAGCGUGAGUGACGGUAAUGGGUAAAGAAGCACCGGCUAACUACGUG